rnacentral:rRNA from 1 species
GAUGAACGCUAGCUACAGGCUUAACACAUGCAAGUCGAGGGGUAACAAGAGGAAAGCUUGCUUUCCUUGUUGACGACCGGCGCACGGGUGAGUAACGCGUAUCCAACCUGCCUAUAACUAGGGAAUAACCUUGCGAAAGUAAGACUAAUACCCUAUGAUUUCCUUUGAUGACAUCAGAUUAGGAACAAAGAUUUAUCGGUUAUAGAUGGGGAUGCGUCUGAUUAGCUUGUUGGCGGGGUAACGGCCCACCAAGGCAACGAUCAGUAGGGGUUCUGAGAGGAAGGUCCCCCACAUUGGAACUGGGACACGGUCCAAACUCCUACGGGAGGCAGCAGUGAGGAAUAUUGGUCAAUGGGCGGAAGCCUGAACCAGCCAAGUAGCGUGCAGGAUGACGGCCCUAUGGGUUGUAAACUGCUUUUAUACAGGAAUAAAGUUAGCCACGUGUGGUUAUUUGUAGGUACUGUAUGAAUAAGGACCGGCUAAUUCCGUGCCAGCCGCCGCAGUAAAAC